GACGAACGCUGGCGGCGCGCCUAACACAUGCAAGUCGAACGAGCGAGAGAGAGCUUGCUUUCUCGAGCGAGUGGCGAACGGGUGAGUAACGCGUGAGGAACCUGCCUCAAAGAGGGGGACAACAGUUGGAAACGACUGCUAAUACCGCAUAAGCCCACGGGUCGGCAUCGACCAGAGGGAAAAGGAGCAAUCCGCUUUGAGAUGGCCUCGCGUCCGAUUAGCUGGUUGGUGAGGUAACGGCCCACCAAGGCAACGAUCGGUAGCCGGACUGAGAGGUUGAACGGCCACAUUGGGACUGAGACACGGCCCAGACUCCUACGGGAGGCAGCAGUGGGGAAUAUUGCACAAUGGGGGAAACCCUGAUGCAGCGACGCCGCGUGGAGGAAGAAGGUCUUCGGAUUGUAAACUCCUGUUGUUGAGGAAGAUAAUGACGGUACUC
rnacentral:rRNA from 1 species